GACGAACGCUGGCGGCGUGCUUAACACAUGCAAGUCGAACGGAAAGGCCCUGCUUUUGUGGGGUGCUCGAGUGGCGAACGGGUGAGUAACACGUGAGUAACCUGCCCUUGACUUUGGGAUAACUUCAGGAAACUGGGGCUAAUACCGGAUAGGAGCUCCUGCUGCAUGGUGGGGGUUGGAAAGUUUCGGCGGUUGGGGAUGGACUCGCGGCUUAUCAGCUUGUUGGUGGGGUAGUGGCUUACCAAGGCUGUGACGGGUAGCCGGCCUGGGAGGGUGACCGGCCACAUUGGGACUGAGAUACGGACCAGACUCCUACGGGAGGCAGCAGUGGGGAAUAUUGCGCAAUGGGCGGGAGCCUGAUGCAGCAACGCCGCGUGCGGGAUGACGGCCUUCGGGUUAUGAACAGCUUUCGCCUGUGACGCAGCGUGAGUGACGGUAAUGGGUAAAGAAGCACCGGCUAACUACGUG
rnacentral:rRNA from 1 species